rnacentral:rRNA from 1 species
GACGAACGCUGGCGGCGUGCUUAACACAUGCAAGUCGAACGGAAAGGCCCUGCUUUUGUGGGGUGCUCGAGUGGCGAACGGGUGAGUAACACGUGAGUAACCUGCCCUUGACUUUGGGAUAACUUCAGGAAACUGGGGCUAAUACCGGAUAGGAGCUCCUGCUGCAUGGUGGGGGUUGGAAAGUUUCGGCGGUUGGGGAUGGACUCGCGGCUUAUCAGCUUGUUGGUGGGGUAGUGGCUUACCAAGGCUUUGACGGGUAGCCGGCCUGAGAGGGUGACCGGCCACAUUGGGACUGAGGGACGGCGCAGACUCCUACGGGAGGCAGCAGUGGGGAAUAUUGCACAAUGGGCGGAAGCCUGAUGCAGCAACGCCGCGUGCGGGAUGGCGGCCUUCGGGUUGUAAACCGCUUUCGCCUGUGACGAAGCGUGAGUGACGGUAAUGGGUAAAGAAGCACCGGCUAACUACGUG